GUCUGAUUGAGUGCUUAUCACCAUGACAUCAAGACACUCCAGUAAACAAGGCUGCUGUCAAGCUGAUUCUGUCCAAGAUGACAUUGUGUGGAGCUGCUGAGGGCUGCGUCUCUGGGUGCGACAGCUGUUCCUCAUUUUGAUGAUCAUCUGGAGGAGUAUAUAGGGGACAGAUCGCCAGCACUUCUUUGCCUGAGUGUUUUGCCUACAGCGGUUCCAUAUUCUGUCUUUUGACUCAGUCUGAUGGUUUAUCACACCCUGCUUCAGAAGAACCCGGAUCAAGUCCCAGCUGGCUGUCCGUUCUCCGGUACUCUUUCCUCGCCUGCAUGCACCCAGUCCACCCUCCAACGAUCCGCUUACUUGGACCCCGGGAGUUCCUGGUGGAUUCCCAGAAAAGGCCCCCCUGGAUCUCCAGACUCAUUUGCCAUCUCCCUGGCGGAUCUAGUCCUCCAUGCACACCUCCUCCGGUUCCUGUCUGCGUGGCUAGCCCUGAUCAUUAUCUGUUCCAGAAUUCUGGCAAUAAACUG